rnacentral:misc_RNA from 1 species
UACGGAGGGUGCAAGCGUUGUCCGGAUUUAUUGGGUUUAAAGGGUACGUAGGCGGUCUGUUAAGUCAGUGGUGAAAUGCGGGGGCUCAACCCCCGGACUGCCAUUGAUACUGGCAGGCUUGAGUGUUGUAGAGGUGGGCGGAAUUUGUGAUGUAGCGGUGAAAUGCAUAGAUAUCACAAGGAACACCAAAAGCGAAGGCAGCUCACUGGACAACAACUGACGCUGAGGUACGAAAGCGUGGGGAGCGAACAGG